UAUCCACCGGUCAUAUACAAAGCACCACCACGUCUUACGCCAUCAUUCCUAAUUCCACACAACCUGAAGUGAGACUUCAAGUAACUAUAUCUAAGUAUUGAUAAAAUCUUUUGCUGUUUGAAACCUAUUGAAGGAGAUUGAACAUGAUUUGCCGGUUUGGAAUAGUUUUCUUGCUUGUGGCCUGCGUGGUUAUGACAUCCGCUGCGCCAAGAGACAGGGGGUCUUGCACCAGGGGUUGCAGGUGCUUGCCUGAGUACGAGCCCGUAUGCGGCAGCGAUGGACGCACCUACGCGAGUAGGUAUGUCAUAUUAUGCGACAUGGACAAACCGGAAAGCCUCCAAAUAGCAUACCAAGGCGAAUGCAGACCGAAACGAGAGACCAAUCUACAGUUUAAUAAUAAUUUUAAUGUUUAAAAAGUCGUAUGUUGUUACCCUAAAUUGUAAGUUGUAUUUUUAUUAUA